UACGGAGGGGGCUAGCGUUGUUCGGAAUUACUGGGCGUAAAGCGCGCGUAGGCGGACCUGCAAGUCGGGGGUGAAAGCCCGAGGCUCAACCUCGGAACUGCCUUCGAUACUGCGGGUCUCGAGUCCGGGAGAGGUGAGUGGAAUUCCUAGUGUAGAGGUGAAAUUCGUAGAUAUUAGGAAGAACACCGGUGGCGAAGGCGGCCCCCUGGUUGGAUACUGACGCUGAGACGCGAAAGCGUGGGGAGCAAACAGG
rnacentral:rRNA from 1 species